AAAAUCCCUAAUUAGUGGAAUUUUCUUUAGAACUAUGAAAUGCUUUGUUUCUCUUGAGAGUAGCUAGAUUGGGAAAAUGCUGAAACCAUUAGCUUCUAUACGAUCUGCAAAAGUUGGGAUUAAAGAUCAAGCAUCAUGAGGACAACCUGAAAUUUCAGAAGACUCAAACAAACAACUUAGGAUGAAUCCAUUUUUGAUAUGCAAGAGCUUCCGAUAUACUGGGAAUUGAUGCACUUGUGGGCAAUCAAAGUUCCAUCUAUAGUCUGUCUGCUAUAUACAAAAGCUCCCUGCACCUUCGAGAUACAUUUCCUAGCACCUUUUGUAAGUGGAUGGUAGUAUUUUAGCAUGGAUUUUGUAGGGACUUUCAAUCAACCUGAUUGGCUUGAAAUCCCUCAAGGACCCACUCCUUUUUUCUUUGGAAUGAGAGUAAUAAGUGAUGUUCCCAACUCCAAUGAAAAUACAACUACUUUCAGAAGCUUACAUUUCAACCUUUGUAGUAUGUAGUAUGUAGUACGGAUGCAAGACAGAGGAUCAAACUUUCACUAUUUUAUGGUGUGCAGCUGACAGAGAG